UACGAAGGGGGCUAGCGUUGUUCGGAAUCACUGGGCGUAAAGGGCGCGUAGGCGGCCGAUCAAGUCGGGGGUGAAAGCCUGUGGCUCAACCACAGAAUUGCCUUCGAUACUGGUUGGCUUGAGACCGGAAGAGGUAAGUGGAACUGCGAGUGUAGAGGUGAAAUUCGUAGAUAUUCGCAAGAACACCAGUGGCGAAGGCGGCUUACUGGUCCGGUUCUGACGCUGAGGCGCGAAAGCGUGGGGGAGCAAACGGGG
rnacentral:rRNA from 1 species